rnacentral:other from 1 species
AAUCUGCUGCGGCGUUGGUGACUGCCAAAAGUGUUCUUGAUCUACGCCUGAUCCAACGAGGGAACCAGCUCACCUGCGGCAGUAGGCCGGACAUGCGCCGCAUGCAGCCGGAAACUUCAAGCGGGGACUGCCGGUACCCACCUAAGUGAUGAGGUCAGGAACUGAGGCAAAACGGCGCCGCGGCAGAUUC